CCUACGGGAGGCAGCAGUGAGGAAUAUUGGUCAAUGGGCGCAAGCCUGAACCAGCCAUGCCGCGUGCAGGAUGAAGCAUCUAUGGUGUGUAAACUGCUUUUGUACGGGAAGAAACACUCCUACGUGUAGGAGCUUGACGGUACCGUAAGAAUAAGGAUCGGCUAACUCCGUGCCAGCAGCCGCGGUAAU
rnacentral:rRNA from 1 species